CCUACGGGUGGCAGCAGUAGGGAAUAUUGCUCAAUGGGGGAAACCCUGAAGCAGCAACGCCGCGUGGAGGAUGAAGGUUUUCGGAUUGUAAACUCCUUUUGUUAGAGAAGAUAAUGACGGUAUCUAACGAAUAAGCACCGGCUAACUCCGUGCCAGCAGCCGCGGUAAUACGGAGGGUGCAAGCGUUACUCGGAAUCACUGGGCGUAAAGAGCGCGUAGGCGGGAUAGCAAGUCAGAUGUGAAAUCCUAGGGCUUAACCAUAGAACUGCAUUUGAAACUGUUAUUCUAGAGUAUGGGAGAGAGAGGUAGAAUUCUAGGUGUAGGGGUGAAAUGCGUAGAGAUGUAGAGGAAUACUGAAGGCGAAGGCAGCCUGCUGGGACAGUACUGACGCUGAUGCGCGAAAGCGUGGGGAGCAAACAGGAUUAGAUACCCCGGUAGUC
rnacentral:rRNA from 1 species